rnacentral:rRNA from 1 species
UGCUCUCUGAUUCAGCGGCGGACGGGUGAGUAAUGCCUAGGAAUCUGCCUGAUAGUGGGGGACAACGUUUCGAAAGGAACGCUAAUACCGCAUACGUCCUACGGGAGAAAGCAGGGGACCUUCGGGCCUUGCGCUAUCAGAUGAGCCUAGGUCGGAUUAGCUAGUUGGUGAGGUAACGGCUCACCAAGGCGACGAUCCGUAACUGGUCUGAGAGGAUGAUCAGUCACACUGGAACUGAGACACGGUCCAGACUCCUACGGGAGGCAGCAGUGGGGAAUAUUGGACAAUGGGCGAAAGCCUGAUCCAGCCAUGCCGCGUGUGUGAAGAAGGUCUUCGGAUUGUAAAGCACUUUAAGUUGGGAGGAAGGGCAUUAACCUAAUACGUUAGUGUUUUGACGUUACCGACAGGAUAAGCACCGGCUAACUUCGUGCCAGCAGCCGCGGUAAUACGAAGGGUGCAAGCGUUAAUCGGAAUUACUGGGCGUAAAGCGCGCGUAGGUGGUUUGUUAAGUUGGAUGUGAAAGCCCCGGGCUCAACCUGGGAACUGCAUCCAAAACUGGCAAGCUAGAGUAUGGCAGAGGGUGGUGGAAUUUCCUGUGUA